rnacentral:rRNA from 1 species
UACAGAGGGUGCGAGCGUUGUUCGGAAUUAUUGGGCGUAAAGCGCGUGUAGGCGGGAUGGCAAGUCGGGUGUGAAAGCCCUCAGUUCAACUGAGGAAGUGCGCCCGAAACUACUGUUCUUGAGUGUCGGAGAGGGUGGCGGAAUUCCCGGUGUAGAGGUGAAAUUCGUAGAUAUCGGGAGGAACACCAGAGGCGAAGGCGGCCACCUGGACGAACACUGACGCUGAGACGCGAAAGCGUGGGGAGCAAACAGG